AGAGUUUGAUCCUGGCUCAGGAUGAAUGCUGGCGGCGUGCUUAACACAUUCAAGUCGAACGGUGAAAGGUUCUUCGGAACCUUGAUCAGUGGCGGACGGGUGAGUAACGCGUGAGCAAUCUGCCUAUGUGAGGGGGAUAACGUUUGGAAACGAACGCUAAUACCGCAUGACGCAUUCGAAUCGCAUGUUUUGAAUGCCAAAGAUUUAUUGCACAUAGAUGAGCUCGCGUCUGAUUAGGUAGUUGGUGAGGUAACGGCUCACCAAGCCGACGAUCAGUAGCCGGACUGAGAGGUUGAACGGCCACAUUGGAACUGAGAAACGGUCCAGACUCCUACGGGAGGCAGCAGUGGGGAAUAUUGGGCAAUGGGCGAAAGCCUGACCCAGCGACGCCGCGUGAGGGAAGAAGGUCUUCGGAUUGUAAACCUUUGUAAGCAGGGAAGAAGAAAGUGACGGUACCUGCAAAGUAAGCCACGGCUAACUACGUGCCAGCAGCCGCGGUAAUACGUAGGUGGCGAGCGUUAUCCGGAUUUAUUGGGUUUAAAGGGUGCGUAGGCGGUUACUUAAGUCAGCGGUAAAAUUGAGAGGCUCAACCUCUUCGAGCCGUUGAAACUGGGCAACUUGAGUGGGUGAGAAGUAUGCGGAAUGCGUGGUGUAGCGGUGAAAUGCAUAGAUAUCACGCAGAACACCGAUUGCGAAGGCAGCAUACCGGCGCCCAACUGACGCUGAAGCACGAAAGCGUGGGGAUCGAACAGGAUUAGAUACCCUGGUAGUCCACGCUGUAAACGAUGAUUUACUAGGGGUGGGGGGACUGACCCCUUUCCGUGCCGCAGUUAACACAAUAAGUAAUCCACCUGGGGAGUACGGCCGCAAGGCUGAAACUCAAAGGAAUUGACGGGGGCCCGCACAAGCAGUGGAGUAUGUGGAUUAAUUCGAAGCAACGCGAAGAACCUUACCAGGUCUUGACAUCGUACGCAUAGCUCAGAGAUGAGUGAAAUCUCUUCGGAGACGUAUAGACAGGUGGUGCAUGGUUGUCGUCAGCUCGUGUCGUGAGAUGUUGGGUUAAGUCCCGCAACGAGCGCAACCCUUAUGUUUAGUUGCUACGCAAGAGCACUCUAGACAGACUGCCGUUGACAAAACGGAGGAAGGUGGGGAUGACGUCAAAUCAUCAUGCCCCUUAUGACCUGGGCCUCACACGUACUACAAUGGCUGCAAACAAAGGGAAGCGAAGCAGUGAUGCGGAGCAAAUCCCCAAAAGCAGUCUUAGUUCGGAUUGUAGGCUGCAACUCGCCUACAUGAAGUCGGAAUUGCUAGUAAUCGUAGAUCAGCAUGCUACGGUGAAUACGUUCCCGGGCCUUGCACACACCGCCCGUCA
rnacentral:rRNA from 1 species